CGGCCUGCCGCAGGCCGGAAAUCAUGCGGCGGCCGGGCAAGGGCCCGGCUUUGGAAAGG
rnacentral:sRNA from 1 species